CAGAAGAGGAAGUGCCUGUUCCCAAAAAGGUGCCACCUCCACCAGCCAAAGUUCCCAAACCUGUCCCAGAAGAGGAAGUGCCUGUUCCCAAAAAAGUGCCACCUCCACCAGCCAAAGUUCCUAAGCCUGUCCUGGAAGAGAAAGUGCCUGUUCCCAAAAAGGUGCCAGCACCACCAGCCAAAG